rnacentral:rRNA from 1 species
GACGAACGCUGGCGGCGUGCUUAACACAUGCAAGUCGAACGGAAAGGCCCUGCUUUUGUGGGGUGCUCGAGUGGCGAACGGGUGAGUAACACGUGAGUAACCUGCCCUUGACUUUGGGAUAACUUCAGGAAACUGGGGCUCAUACCGGAUAGGAGCUCCUGCUGCAUGGUGGGGGUUGGAAAGUUUCGGCGGUUGGGGAUGGACUCGCGGCUUAUCAGCUUGUUGGGGUGGUAGUGGCUUACCAAGGCUUUGACGGGUAGCCGGCCUGAGAAGGGGGCCGGGCACAUUGGUACUGAGAUACGGACCAGACUCGUACGGGAGGCAGCAGGGGAGAAUAUUGCACAAUGGGCGGAAGCCUGAUGCAGCAACGCCGCGUGCGGGAUGACGGCCUUCGGGUUGUAAACCGCUUUCGCCUGUGACGAAGCGUGAGUGACGGUAAUGGGUAAAGAAGCACCGGCUAACUACGUG